rnacentral:rRNA from 1 species
GACGGGUGAGUAUAAUGUGGGAAUCUGCCUUUUGGUUUGGAAUAACUCGGGGAAACCUGAGCUAAUACUGGAUAAGCCCUUACGGGGAAAGCUUUAUGCGCCAAAAGAUGAGCCCGCACUUGAUUAGCUUGUUGGUGAGGUAAAAGCUCACCAAGGCAACGAUCAAUAGCUGUUCUUAGAGGAAGACCAGCCACAUUGGGACUGAGACACGGCCCAGACUCCUACGGGAGGCAGCAGUAAGGAAUCUUGCACAAUGGGGGAAACCCUGAUGCAGCGAUGCCGCGUGAGUGAAGAAGGCCUUUGGGUUGUAAAACUCUUUCGUCGGGGAAGAAAAUGACUGUACCCGAAUAAGAAGGUCCGGCUAACUUCGUGCCAGCAGCCGCGGUAAUACGAAGGGACCUAGCGUAGUUCGGAAUUACUGGGCUUAAAGAGCUCGUAGGUGGUUAGAAAAGUUGGUGGUGAAAUCCCAAGGCUCAACCUUGGAACUGCCAUCAAAACUUUCUAGCUUGAGUGUGAUAGAGGAAAGUGGAAUUUCUAGUGUAGAGGUGAAAUUCGUAGAUAUUAGAAAGAACACCAAAUGCGAAGGCAACUUUCUGGAUCACUACUGACACUGAGGAGCGAAAGCAUGGGUAGCGAAGAGGAUUAGAUACCCUCGUAGUCCAUGCUGUAAACGAUGUGUGCUAGACGUUGGAAAUUUAUUUUUCAGUGUCGCAGCAAAAGCGUUAAGCACACCGCCUGGGGAGUACG